UACAGUACAAUAAAUUGCUCUGGGCGCAGCCAAUCAGAAAUGAGAUUUUUCCAUGCAUUUCAUUAUGAUACAAAGCUGUAGUUGGUUGCCUGGGAUUUCAAAAUAUUUUUGACAAAACUUUUUGCUUAUAUAUACUUAAUAAGGUAUACACACAAGGAUAUAUUUGGCAUAGUCUGUAUACGCGUUGGCAUAAUCCACUGGCAUUGUGACAUUCGCCGAUCAUUUAGCACUGUUUUUGUUUGCAAUUUGCUUGUUUACUCAGGCGGGCUGCGUAUCAGUUAACUGUCUGCUUGAAACGCAUUAAAACAUUGACAAUCUGUGCGGAACCUUCUAUCAAUGUUACACGGUGUUUAUAUAGAAAUUUCAAAAUAGGUUUAUCUGCAAGAAUAACAGGUCACUGGAAAUUUUUUUCAAAAUCCUUAUACUAUGUAAAUAGUAUGGAUCUUCGUUGGAAAUAGUAUGGAAAUCCAAUUUUCAUAUACUAAUUCCAACUUCCAUACUAUGGAUAAGUGUGGAUAAGUAUGGGUAUACUAUGCCUAUGGAUUUAAUGAUGCAUUGCAAAUUCCAUAAUGGUUUCACUAUUUUUUCCAAUUGGAUUUUAGUGUAUAUAUAGAGAGAGAGGAUAUUUAUACACGGCGGCGCUAAGAUAUGACUUUUAUCUUCGAGUGGUGAAAACAAUAUUUUACGAACGAUCGCAGCGAGUGAGUGAAUAUUGUUUUUAACACGAGAAGAUAAAAGUCAUAUCUUCAAGACACCGUGUAAUGUUCUGUUUAUUAUAUAGUCCCAAGCAAAAAAUUGUGAAAUUUCACGCUCAAAAGCAAAUCGGAAAAAGUCACGUGAUCGAUAUCUUCACUAGUGAACUGAUAUGGAAAAUAUCUCACUGUGUAUUUUUCAGUAUCUCAC